rnacentral:rRNA from 1 species
CCUGCCGUAUGCAGGGGGAUAACAGUUAGAAAUGACUGCUAAUACCGCAUAAGCGCACAGUAUCGCAUGAUACAGUGUGAAAAACGAUAGUGGCAUACGAUGGACCCGCGUCUGAUUAGCUAGUUGGCGGGGUAACGGCCCACCAAGGCGACGAUCAGUAGCCGGCCUGAGAGGGUGAACGGCCACAUUGGAACUGAGACACGGUCCAAACUCCUACGGGAGGCAGCAGUGGGGGAUAUUGCACAAUGGGGGAAACCCUGAUGCAGCGACGCCGCGUGAGUGAAGAAGUAUUUCGGUAUGUAAAGCUCUAUCAGCAGGAAAGAUAAUGACGGUACCUGACUAAGAAGCACCGGCUAAAUACGUGCCAGCAGCCGCGGUAAUACGUAUGGUGCAAGCGUUAUCCGGAUUUACUGGGUGUAAAGGGAGCGCAAACGGCAUGGCAAGCCAGAUGUGAAAGGUGGGGGCUCAAACCCCAAGCUGCAUUUGGAACUGUCAAGCUAAAGUAUCGGAGAGGUAAGUGGAAUUCCUAGUGUAUCGGUGAAAUGCGUAAAUAUUAGGAGGAACACCAGUGGCGAAGGCGGCUUACUG